rnacentral:rRNA from 1 species
CUUGAGAGAGUGAUCGGCCACAUUGGGACUGAGACACGGCCCAAACUCCUACGGGAGGCAGCAGUGGGGAAUUAUUCCACAAUGGGGGGAAACCCUGAUGCAGCGACGCCCGCUGAGAUGAAGAAGUAUUUUCGGUAUGUAAAACUCUAUCAGCAAGGAAGAUAAUGACGUACUUGACUAAGAAGCCCCGGCUAACUACGUGC